rnacentral:rRNA from 1 species
UACGUAGGGUGCAAGCGUUAAUCGGAAUUACUGGGCGUAAAGCGUGCGCAGGCGGUUUUGUAAGCCAGAUGUGAAAUCCCCCGGACUUAACCUGGGAAUGGCAUUUGGGACUGCAAGGCUGGAGUUUGGCAGAGGAGACUGGAAUUCCUGGUGUAGCAGUGAAAUGCGUAGAUAUCAGGAGGAACACCGAUGGCGAAGGCAGGUCUCUGGGCUGAAACUGACGCUCAUGCACGAAAGCGUGGGGAGCAAACAGG